ACGGCCCCAGCUCCCGCGCAUGGUGGUUUCUAUUGCGCGGCCCGGGCUGGAUGAGGGGAGCCAAGGCGGCCAUAGCGAGCACAACUUUUUAUAUCGCCCCCUCGUUCUGCCCUUUCCUGGCAUUUUGACAGGUGUGUUUUUCUGCACCCCAGCUGGCACACAGAGACCUCCCACCCUGCCCGCAUGUCCCAGCUCUGUCACACCAGCAGUGUUUUGUGUGUCACCCUAGUGCUGCCGUGAGUGGCACACUGCUGUCGUGUGCCACACUGCCACUGUGUGGAGCCUUGCACUGGCACUGUGCUGUGUGUCACGCCGGCACCGUGUGCUUCCAGACAAGGCUUGCAGACCUUGGAGUGUAAGCGGGAGGGUGUGAAAGAUGGUGACAAAAGAAAGACGCCAAAUGAGAGGCCGGUUUCUUCUAGACUGAAAGCCAGCUCUCUGUUACGUAAUACUGUUUUCUUCUGCUUCCUCACCUGAUGUCAGUCUGCCAUGUGCACACUCUGCCCUUCCCUAGAGAGCGUGAUGCAUGGACCUCUGGAAAACUGAUUAGAGCAGCACAGCAUUUUAGGAACAUCUGUGGAAGCCAUCACGAGCCGUCUCUUUGCUGAAGACAGGUGCUGUUUUUAACCAGUGUUUGAUUACAGCAGGUCUGUUGACAUCCAUUUUGUGCAAUCCAAAAAUAGCUUGGGAGUGAGGACAUGCUGCCUACAGGUCCAGGGAGCCUGAGGCUAUGGCUUUGCUAUGUUGAGAAGGCAUCUCUAGUUAGCUUUAAUCUAGCUGGACUGAGUACAACAGUACCCAAAUAGAAACACAGAGUUUGGAGUGGGUUCACAAACUGAGCAAGUGUCUGGGCUUCCUAAAAGGCUUCUAAAACUCGAAGCAGUCAAAUCUGGCCCUAGCCUGGCUGCUGCAGUCAUUUUACUGCGCCUUUACAUAGGAAUAAAACUUUGUGAGGGACUGAGGAGUGAGAAUACUCUUCAAACCAGAACUAAAUAAUUCAGUUUUAUUUGUAACCUGUUUGUACAUGCAUUUAUUUAUUAUAUACCUCUCAUGUAUUGCUUCAAUUCCCCCAAAAAAGCGUAUCUUGUAAUUUCCACAUGUGACUCCUGUGAUGAAGGACUUGUGACUUCUUGGCCAGUUACUUUUUGUAAUUGCAGAAGAAAUUUCCUAUUCCCCACAAAUAAAUUGAGUUUCAGUGCUGCCUAUUUAAGUCUGACUUUCUGCUCAACACUUCCACAUUAAUGCUGGUUUUCAAGAUGACACCUAAAGCUGUUGGAGUUGUUUUAUUGAUGAACCCAAAUUAAUGCAAUAUCCUUAUUAACUCAAUCUUUUUAAUUAUAUGUAAGGGAUUUUUUCAGUAGCUCGGCCCAGUAUUUGGGAUCAUUCACUUUAACACCUCUUUUUAUGAUCAAAGUGUAUUACUGAAUCCCAUGGGCCCUUCAGGGCUUGCUCCAGCAUAUCAGUUGUCAGGACAUUAAAGUUGUUAAUUUUAUUAAGUUUCUGGGGUUUGUUCCAAAUUCAACAUUGCUUUGCAUUAGAGUAGGAGCUGAAGAGGCAGGAUGUUAGUUUUUCCAUUUCAUAUCUUAAAGCACUAGGUAUUUUUUCAGCACUUUUCCCCAGGCUAGGGCACACCUUUGAUUUGCAAUUCAGAGUUACUCCUGGGACAGGCGAGACUCUUAGACACUCAGGUACAGUUUUGUCUGUGCUGAUUUUAAUACAUGGGUCCCACACAAAAGGAAAACAUUUUUUUUAAAUUUAAAAAUCUAAAAUAAUCCCCUGUAAAGGUAUUUUAGUUGUAAACCCAAGGCUUCUUUUCUUUGAGGAGGGUGUUUAAUUUAUUUUCUGCCUUUAGUUUAGUACCUUUUGAAAUUGCCUCACUUUUGUUUCCCUGCUUUUCCUUCUUACAAUGAUGACGCACUUGAAAGGGAUUCCUAUUUGAUAAUACCCAAGGAGGGAUUUGGACCGUGUUCUGUUGCUUUGGAAACCAGAAGUUACAGAACACAAGUUUGCUAGGCUUAGCAUGAAACGUUUGCGGACUAUAAUUUUCUGCCUGCACACAGCUCAGUUUGAGGGAGUUUAGGAUCUCGGGCAAACUUGUUACUGUUCUUGAGGGAGGAUGGCCAUCAGGGUUAGUAAUUGGGGACAGCUUGCUGUGCUGUGCUUCAGUCUGUUGUAACAGGGAGCAGGGCUUAAUCUGUGGGGCAGGAGCAAGCAGAGUUUAUGGAGCAACAGCUCCCCUGACCAAUCGCAGAGAUGCUCAGUGCAGUGAAAGCAUUUGUGGCACUUCCUCUGCUUUUAUUUUUAAUAUGCUCUUCCCUCCCCCCCACAUAAGGUGAUGUCCUGAAGCUUUCACUCUGGCUUGUUCAGUAGAACUUGGUUAAACCAAGCAUUUUCUGUUCAAUCAUUUAGUUGUGACCUGUAUGUGCCAGGAGAAGGUUCUGUAUUUUGUUUUCAUUUGCUUUUCUGAAAAAGUGUGCUGCAGUGUCAGCAGUGCAGCACAGCCGAGUGAAACGUCUGAAUUUCCGUGUACACGGUUUUCAAGAGAACUUAGGAGACGCUGAAGACAUUUCAUUGUCAUUUACUGCAGUUUGCCAACAUCCAUUUUGAUUAAUGAGGCUGCAGUAGAGGGAGACUGGAGAGCUGGAGAGCUGCAUCAACUGGUACUGAGCUGCAUCUGUACAAUCAGAAGCAGCUAAGGCUGCUGUCAGUGAGGACGCUGGGCUUGGAGUGAGGAUACUGCCAAGCAGCCUGGCACCCUAAGGAAUGGGCAGAGGUUGAGGAGUGAAUGCAAGUCACAAAAGCUGAGGACCUGAACUCUGGCCCCACCUUCCAGGUAUCUAAAACAGCUGGGGGCACUGGAUAAUACCAUGAUGGAAGAAAGGAAUCUCUGAUUCUCCUUUCUAUUACUCUGUGUUUUGGAACAGAGGAAAAGGCAAAACAAUUGGUUUGAAUUCAAUUCUCAUUUUCUAGGCAAAUUGUUAAUUGUUCACCUCUCCUUCCAUCUCCAGCCCUACCCUCAAGUUUGUUUGACAGUGUGGUAGCAGGCAGUGUCUGCUUUGAUGAGUCCAGUACCAGCAGCUGAGUUCCAGGUUACAGCUGUUGGAGUUACUGAGGAAAAUGUCAUAUGGAAUAGCCUCAUUUAUUUUGACAAAAACCAGUCUUCAUGCUGUGAUGGUAAUGGAAUCUUUCAAGCAUGCUAUGCUGGUUUGGAAGCCUUUGCACCCUGGCAGAACCAAACAACUGAUGCUGGCAGCUUUAUCAUUUUGGAGAACAAUGACAUUUAAUUUUCUUGACACAAAACCAAUUGUGAUAAAGUCACAAUGCAAAAUCUUUUGUCUUGGGAAAGAAGCAAAGAUAAAAUGGCAAAGUAUACUGGUUUUAAAAAGCUUUUCUUCAUAUUCUUGGAAAGCAAUUUGACUUCUUUCCUACUCCCCUGAACUUCCUGUUCUUCAUGAAUAACCUCCUAACAGGUACUGGAAGGCCGAAAUGGACUUGGUGUGCACCUAAGACAGAGCUGGACAGAGCUGUACUGCUGAACUCUCUAGGGCGAUUGGAAUCCUGGAAAACUGGGAAAAGUAGAAAAUAAACCUUAAGCUGGAGAAAA